rnacentral:rRNA from 1 species
GAUGAACGCUGGCGGCGUGCCUAAUACAUGCAAGUCGAGCGAACGGACGAGAAGCUUGCUUCUCUGAUGUUAGCGGCGGACGGGUGAGUAACACGUGGAUAACCUACCUAUUAGACUGGGAUAACUUCGGGAAACCGGAGCUAAUACCGCAUAAUAUCUUGAACCGCAUGGUUCAAGAGUGAAAGACGCUCUUGCUGUCCCUUAUAGAUGACUUCGGGCUGCAUUAGCUAGUUGGGAAGGUACCGGCUUACCAAGGCAAGGAUGCAAAGCCGACCUGAGAGGGUGAUCGGCCACACUGGAACUGAGACACGGUCCAGACUCCUACGGGAGGCAGCAGUAGGGAAUCUUCCGCAAUGGGCGAAAGCCUGACGGAGCAACGCCGCAUGAGUGAUGAAGGUCUUCGGAUCGUAAAACUCUGUUAUUGGGGAAGAACAGAUGUGUAAGUAACUGUGCACAUCUUGACGGUACCUAAUCAGAAAGCCACGGCUAACUACGUG